ACCGCGCCCGGCCAAUCCAAUCUUUAAGAGCUCGAGUUGCUGUGAGCUACCCAAUCUCUGGACCUGCAGUAAAGUGAACAUCAAGCAGAUUGUCAAGAGAAGGUCCUACAGUGGAAUGAUGUUUGGAGAAGAAAACUUCCAAGAUGCCGUAAUUGACUAAUUUACCUCCUGUUCCUCUACAACUUAUAGGAGAAUCACAACCAGGCACACAUCAAGGAAAGGCUGUGUGAGGACACAGGGAGAAAGCAUCAUCUACAAACCAGGAAGAGAGCCCUUACUAGAAACCUAACCCUACCAGCACCUUGACCUUGGACUUCUACCCUACAGAACUGUGAGAAAUAAAUUUCUGUUGUUUAAGCCAUCAAGUCUGUGAUAUUUUAUGAUGGCAGCCUGAGAAGACUGAUAAAAAGCUAAAACACAUUUAAAUGAAAAAAAAAAUAUUUAUUUAUAUAAUGUAAAUAUCUUCCAGCUUGAUAGCCUCUGUGGGUGACUGCAUUUUGGCUGCCACAAUAUCUCCCCUCCCACAUGUACAUCUACCACGUGACAUUGAGUAUCUCCCAUCCCACACGUUUAUCUACCACGUGACAUUGAAUUGUCACCAAUCAAGAUGUACAAUCUGUGACUUUCCCUUUGGAAUUGCACAAACUUAUGUCUCAUUAGUAACCAGUGUGGUAGAAGUGAUGCUGUGUGCCUUCUGAGGCUGGGUCAUGAAGACAAUGCAGUUUCCAACUUGAGAGUUGGAGCACUUGCUUUAGGAGUGCUGUCACCAAGAAGGUUUGGAUACCCUAAGGCUGCCAUGUUGUGAGGAAGCCCAGGCCAGUGGAGAAGCCACUUUUGGAUGCUCAGCUUACUGUCAAGCACACAGGAAGUAUGAAAGAGAAGGUCCCAGAUAAAAGUCAACACCAAUAUCCCAACAUGUGAAUGAAGACACCUCUUGAUGAUUUCAAAGCCCAACAAUCAUCAAGUCACCCCUAGGAUAGUAUUUCUGGGAGGUCCACAAUUGAUCUCUCACAUGUACUCACAUAUUGGUUUCUGCUGUCAUCACAUGAUCAAUCAUCACCACUGUUGUUCCUCUGCUGCCUGGAGGUUCUCCAUCCCUGCCUUUGCCCUUCCCUCACACUCUCAUUUCAAGGUCCCUGUCAAAGAGGAAUGAUUUAACAGCUUUCAGGAUUUGGCAACUCCAAUGCCGCUGAAGACUGAGUGUGGAAGAGGCCCCAUUGCCAAUUUUCAGCCAUACUUUGUCACUUGGGCUCCAAAGCAACCUAGAAAGUCACAAAAGCUACUCCUGGGCAAUUUUCUGCCAACUCUAGUAGCCGUGCUUAUUCAAUAACAAUUAUAUAAUACUCAAUGUGAGACAGUUACUAUUUCCAUCACUUAAAAAGAUUAACCUACCUUUACAAUAACCUUAUGAGUUUUGUUAUUAUUUUGUUUUACAGAAGAGGAUACUGAGAUUUAGCAAGGCUAAAUAACCAGCUUAGGGUCACCCAGCUAGGAAGUAGUAGAGCUAGUGUGUGUGCAUACACUGGCACAUGCAUGCUCAUAUGUGCAUGUGUACUUGUAUCUUUCUCUGCUGUGUAUACUUGGAAGCAGGUUUUGGCUUGCCUGAGUCUAUGGAUGGAGGUAAGAGCAGCCAAUAUUUAUUGCAAGAGAUAAACAAACCCUAACCCAGCCAAGCUUUAAAGUGUCUGGGGUUUUAAGAGCUUUCCAGGCCCUUUGACGAAACCCAUCAGGCCAGAGUAAUGAUGCUGCGGUUUGCCAUUCAUUCUUAUUGGGUUUAAUGAAGAUAAAGGAGCUCUCUUUAUGUGUCCAGUUGGGCUUAACAAAUUAACCAGGCUGCCGGAGGGGUACAUGUGAACAGAAUAUUUGUCCUCAUAAUGUUCAUUAGGAGGGAGAAAGUUAACUAACCUUUUGUUCUGUAUUUCUUUUCCUAAAGCCCAGUGAAAACUGCAGAGCUGAAACAUCAUCGCUAAUCUUAUUUCUGACGGGCCUUUUUCUAACUUCUCCUUUUAUGAUCAUUUCACAGCUGUUAUAUUGAAUCAGUAUCAUUAUGUGUUUAAAAAAAAAAUUAUGCUCUGUGUCUCAGAGCUAACUGUCCAGAACUAAACAUCCUGGCCCCCUUUGGACAAUGACAGGCUGUCAGAGAACUGGAAAGGGGAUUGGGUUGGUUUGUUUGCUUCUUGUGUCCUCUUGACAGCUCCUGGUGAAUGAAGGAAAGCUGCGAUGAUCAGAUUUUUGCUAUGGGUUUACAACAUGACUAUAAGCAAAUCCCUGUAGCAAAUUGCAAAAAUGGCCCCCAAGUCCUGAAUGCACACCCCUUUCCAGUGGGAUUUUGCCACAUCUCUCAUUAACAGGUGGAGUCCCUAUUUCACACUUUGAAUCUGGAAUUAGUAAUGGGAUUUGCUUUGUCCAAUGGGAUGUCAGCUGAGGCUUGAAAGGCACUUGUUGGAGUUUGCUUUACCAUGCUGCAUCUAUAAUCUUGAGACCCUCACGUUACCCGGCCUGAGCUAGCCUGCAAGAAAAUGAGAGAAGAUAAGGAGAAGAAACAAAGUACAAUGGUUGAUGGUCACCCUUGUUAAUUCAACUGAUAGACUUCCAACUGCUAGACAAGUGAGGGUGGCCACCCUAGAUCACUCAGCCAUCAGCCCGCAUGCCAACUGAUCACAGAUGCAUGAGAGCCCAGCAGAGAUAAGCCAUGCUAACCCAGGCAGAAGUAUCACCCAACUGACACACAGAAUCAUGGACUAAAUAAAAUGGUUAUUUUUUAAAGCCACUAAAUUUCAGGGUGGUUUGUUACACAACCAAAGCUAACUGAUACAUGCUCCUCUUCUUGAAGCACAUGACAGCUUACCUAAAUGGGGUGCAAUUUAUACCAAGAAGUCUUCAAGAAGGUGAACAUCCAUGUGCUACAGGAGUUGGCUUUUAAGAAGUUAGCUCCCCUAUAUUCAAGGGC
rnacentral:lncRNA from 1 species